CUACGUGCCAGCAGCCGCGGUAAUACGUAGGUGGCAAGCGUUGUCCGGAAUUAUUGGGCGUAAAGCGCGCGCAGGCGGAUUGGUCAGUCUGUCUUAAAGGUUCGGGGCUUAACCCCGUGAUGGGAUGGAAACUGCCAAUCUAGAGUAUCGGAGAGGAAAGUGGAAUUCCUAGUGUAGCGGUGAAAUGCGUAGAUAUUAGGAAGAACACCAGUGGCGAAGGCGACUUUCUGGACGAAAACUGACGCUGAGGCGCGAAAGCCAGGGGAGCGAACGGGAUUAGAUACCCCGGUAGUCCUGGCCGUAAACGAUGGGUACUAGGUGUAGGAGGUAUCGACCCCUUCUGUGCCGGAGUUAACGCAAUAAGUACCCCGCCUGGGGAGUACGACCGCAAGGUUGAAACUCAAAGGAAUUGACGGGGGCCCGCACAAGCGGUGGAGUAUGUGGUUUAAUUCGACGCAACGCGAAGAACCUUACCAGGUCUUGACAU
rnacentral:rRNA from 1 species